CCUACGGGGGGCUGCAGUGGGGAAUAUUGGACAAUGGGGGGAACCCUGAUCCAGCCAUGCCGCGUGUGUGAAGAAGGCCCUCGGGUUGUAAAGCACUUUCAGUGAGGAAGAACGCCUGGUGGUUAAUACCCAUCAGGAAAGACAUCACUCACAGAAGAAGCACCGGCUAACUCCGUGCCAGCAGCCGCGGUAAUACGGAGGGUGCGAGCGUUAAUCGGAAUUACUGGGCGUAAAGCGCGCGUAGGUGGCUUGAUAAGCCGGUUGUGAAAGCCCCGGGCUCAACCUGGGAACGGCAUCCGGAACUGUCAAGCUAGAGUGCAGGAGAGGAAGGUAGAAUUCCCGGUGUAGCGGUGAAAUGCGUAGAGAUCGGGAGGAAUACCAGUAGCGAAGGCGGCCUUCUGGACUGACACUGACACUGAGGUGCGAAAGCGUGGGUAGCAAACAGGAUUAGAUACCCCUGUAGUC
rnacentral:rRNA from 1 species